rnacentral:rRNA from 1 species
AAUGAACGUUGGCGGCGUGGAUUAGGCAUGCAAGUCGAGCGAGAAUCCCGGCUUGCCGGGAGGACAGCGGCGCAAGGGACAGUAAUGUGUAGAUUAUCUGCCCUCGGGUCCGGGAUAGCCGCGGGAAACUGCGGGUAAUACCGGAUGACAUCUCCGGAUCAAAGGUGUGAUUCCGCCCGAGGAUGAGUCUACAUCCUAUUAGCUUGUUGGCAGGGUAAUGGCCUACCAAGGCGAUGAUGGGUAGCGGGUGUGAGAGCACGACCCGCGUCAUUGGGACUGAGACACUGCCCAGACACCUACGGGUGGCUGCAGUCGAGAAUCUUCGGCAAUGGGCGCAAGCCUGACCGAGCGACG